GAUGAACGCUAGCGGCAGGCCUAACACAUGCAAGUCGAGGGGUAGAGUUCUUCGGGACUUGAGACCGGCGCACGGGUGCGUAACGCGUAUGCAAUCUACCUUAUACAGGGGAAUAGCCCAGAGAAAUUUGGAUUAAUGCCCCAUAGUGUUAUCGAAUCGCAUGGUUUGAUAACUAAAGUUCCAACGGUAUAAGAUGAGCAUGCGUCCCAUUAGUUAGUUGGUAAGGUAACGGCUUACCAAGACAAUGAUGGGUAGGGGUCCUGAGAGGGAGAUCCCCCACACUGGUACUGAGACACGGACCAGACUCCUACGGGAGGCAGCAGUGAGGAAUAUUGGUCAAUGGGCGCAAGCCUGAACCAGCCAUGCCGCGUGCAGGAAGACGGUCCUAUGGAUUGUAAACUGCUUUUAUACAGGAAGAAACACUCCCUCGUGAGGGAGCUUGACGGUACUGUAAGAUAAGGAUCGGCUAACUCCGUG
rnacentral:rRNA from 1 species